UACGAAGGGGGCGAGCGUUGUCCGGAUUUAUUGGGCGUAAAGAGCGUGUAGGCGGCCAAGCAGGUCCGCUGUGAAAACUCGAGGCUCAACCUCGAGACGUCGGUGGAAACCGUUUGGCUAGAGUCCGGAAGAGGAGAGUGGAGUUCCCGGUGUAGCGGUGAAAUGCGCAGAUAUCGGGAAGAACACCCGUGGCGAAGGCGGCUCUCUGGGACGGUACUGACGCUGAGACGCGAAAGCGUGGGGAGCGAACAGG
rnacentral:rRNA from 1 species